rnacentral:sRNA from 1 species
AUGCACGGUCCAGACUGAGCAGGUUUUAAGAAAGGCUUCUAAUUAUUUAAAGGCAGAAGCUUAUCCCAUGGACAAAAAUGUGUUUUUUAAAGACAACUACAAUUGGAGAUUUCAGGGAAGUAAAAAGAAUAGUAAAUGAGAGGGGAAUAAAGACAUCCUGGAAAUAAAAAGAUUUUGAAUGUAAUAUUGUAAGUCACUCAGGUGGAAUUUAAGGCAGAGAACGACGCUCAUUCCUUCCAACAAGCCACAGGCUAGGUUCCUCUGUGUUGACUGUCGUAGGGGGCAGGGGUUACGUAGAGAACCUCGAUGUACCUUGCUGUCUGUUCAGGUGGUGUCAUCCCUUCCUGAAAUGCCCCAUCUCCACUGUGGUCUCUUAAUUUCCUGUGCAGUUACGCAGAUGUCCGGGUGGAAAGGAGGCAGGAGCUGGCUCUGGAAGACCCACCAUCCGAGGCCCUCCACUCCUCAGCACUAAAGGACAAGGGCUCAAGCCUGGAACCUCGGCAGCACUUUAACGCACUCGACGUGGGUGCCUCGGGCCUUAAUACCAGUCAUUCGCCAUCGGCGUCCUCAAGAAGUUCCCACAAAUCCUCGCACACAGCCAUGUCAGAACCCACCUCCACUCCCACCAAGCUGAUGGCAGAGGCCAGCACCCCGGCUUUGCCAAGAUCAGCCACCCUGCCCCAAGAGUUACCUGUCCCCGGGCUCAGCCAGGCAGCCACCAUGCCGGCCCCUCUGCCUUCCCCAUCGUCCUGCGACCUCACACAGCAGCUCCUGCCUCAGACCAUUCUGCAGAGCACACCCGCUCCCAUGGCACAGUUUUCGGCACAGUUCAGUAUGUUCCAGACCAUCAAAGACCAGCUAGAGCAGCGGACGCGGAUCCUGCAGGCCAAUAUCCGGUGGCAACAGGAAGAGCUCCACAAGAUCCAGGAGCAGCUCUGCCUGGUCCAGGACUCCAACGUCCAGGUGAUCCCCUUCCCGGGCUGGCCUCUGUCCCUGCUGCUGUGUGGGAAGGGGUCCUGCCGCCAUUUCCAGGCAGCCAGGACUUCCUCCCAAGCCCUGCGCACUGCCCUGCCAAGCCCCAUUUGCUUAUGAAAGCAUAUUGCAGUCUCUGCAAAGGACAAGGAACAAAUCCCGGUCCUCAUCCCUGCCUCCAGGCCACACCCCUGAUGUCCUCUUCCCUCACCCCUCACUCUGGCAGGCACAUCUGCUCGCUGCCUCCACCUACGUUUGCACUUGUGCACUUGGCGUUGGAUUGCCCUGCAUGGAUGCCUGCCUCGGUCCUGGGUAGUACCUCCCUGCACCUCUAUAACUUCGCUUUCCUAGCUCCCAGCCCAGGCUGCCAUCAGGAGGAGAUGGAAGCAGCUCUGUUGUUUCUCAUCCAAUGCAGGCAUCCAGGGAGAUGUGGGAAAUGAUGAUAUCCGUAUCACAGCCUACUGGAGACUGCAGAGGGAGCUGGGUGGCACCCCAUUUGUGGUGUGCCAGCAGGGAGGCUCUGCAAGGCCCAGCAGCAGCAGCUCUCACUGUGACCCCCAGAUAUUAGAAUUGUUUGGAGAGGUGUUGUUUUGUUUUGUUUUUUGUUUUGUUUUGUUUUGGAGGAAAACCUUUCUAUAUUGGAUCUCUUUUAAUAAUAUAUAAUGUUUUACUUAUAUUAGUCCAGGACUGUGUAUCUUCAGAAGUGCCUGAUUCUGACCUAGCCUUUGAUUGUAAAUGUAACUCUAGCUAACCUUGGCGUCUGCCCUGGGAGCACUAAGCAUUUGGAGACCCUUAGAAGGGACAGAAAGAAGCAGAUAUAACAUCUCUGCCGGAGCACUGUCCCUGUUGCUUCCCCCAUCACCAUCUACGCAGACCCUCCCCUGGCCACACAGCUUCUGAAGUGCAGCCACACCUACCAUAGGUGACAGGCGGGUUCUGUCGAGGCACAGCGCCGUGAGCCGGUGCACGCUGAGAUUAAUACACAGUGGUGCAGGUGUCUGGGGGCUUAGGGAGAUGCUCAUUUGGCCAUCCUGCCUCGCUGAGGUCCCAGCAGCUCCGCCUGGACCUCAGGGGCACUCCUGGUGGCUUUCUAGAUGCUCACUGUCCCUCCCCUUCCUGCCCCUGCACAGGCCUCUCAGAGGUGGCUACUCACCUUAAAGAGAAGAGCCCUGCCCUGGACAGGCCACCUCCCCACCUGCUCCCCUCAAGACACGGCGUGUGCGCCUUGAGCAGGCUUCACUCAGACAGCCUGGGCCAUGCCAGAGCCCUGCUACUCUCCCCACCUCCUCAGUGCACCCUUAAAUUGACCAGGAAAAGGCUCGGCCUUCUCGAGCUGCCAUUCCACCUUUUACCAGAAUAGGUAAAAAAUGGCUUUUUAGUUACGCCUUCCCAGCUGGAAUAUUUUUCUCACUGAUCCAGGGCCUGACUGGGAGCCCAACGCUUGCCUGACUCCAAUUACUUUAAUGGAAUUUUUACACUAACAGGAAGGGGGAAAUCGAGCCAGAAACUGCUAAAAUUGAGGUAGGCGUAUGAACAUCCCCCUCAGUGCCUGGAGUUUUUCUACUUCCUGCCUUUUCUGAAUUUUAAAAUAACAGGCAGCAAGGUUAUCGCUUUCACUCCUGUUAUAACAAAGUAUUUUUCCUCCUUGUGACCCGUGCCUUUGGUUAACCCCAAAGUACCUAUGCCAUAGUGCACCGAGGGAUGUUCUGAGCCGGCCGGCAUGGGAAUUGCACCCUCCGGUGCCUUCCUGCCCUGUGUUCAUUCCUGAGGCCUUAUCUUUGCAGUGGAAUUUUCCAGAGAUCAUGGAAAUCCACAGAUAGUCGAGACAGAGGACAUUUCCUCAAGGAGUCUGCCUUGUUUUUUUGUUAAGACUUAAAGAAAUAUGUUCCAAAAUGUGAUAUUUGUUUUUUUUAAACUAAACUGUGUGAUUCAAGUGUGAAGAAUAAGCAAGUACAAAUGACUCCAGCCCACCCCCAAAAGUAGAGGGAUAGAUAAAAUAAGAAUGACAAAACAUUGAUGAUUGUUGAAGCCUAAUGAUGAUACCAAGGUUUCAUUGUAUUACUUGUCUAUUUUGUAUACUUCUAAAAUGUCCUGUAAUGACAAGUAUUUGUAGAACUAAGCAGAUACCACUAAUGAAAAAUCAUCUGUGAGUGUAGGAUUGGUUUGUUCUUGAAAAUUAGAAGUUGUUGGUUUGUUUUCUCUGAUAACUUUUCCCACUUGGAGAACUUUUUUUUUUUUUUUUAUGUUUUCUAUAAAGUUGACCUCAGAGCCCUUUCAAGUCACCAUCUCCUUAAGCCACAAAAUUCUACUUUAUUGUUGAUAAACAGAAGUAUGGCUGUGCCCAGCAGCAAACCAGGAACCAGUCCCCCACCCAGUGGCCUUUAUCCCAACUUCAGUGGACUUGUGAUGCUUUACUUCAUUGCUUCAAAACUUUCAUCAAGGCUAUAUGUGCCUGUGAUGCUUGCUAUUUUUUUUUUUUUCAAAAAAAAUGUUGGGUUAUGAGGAAGAAGUCCUGAAGGGCUGUUGGUGUUUGCACCUGGAUGGGAUCAUGAAUGGGGCUACCUGGACAAGAGCUGUUGUGCUGAAAGGCCCAUCGCCCCCUCCAAGGCUGCCUCUUGCUCUUUUUGAGAGCAUGCGCGCCCUCUGCUGGCUGCUUAAAGGAAUGCCUAGAAGGACACCUGUAGCAGUGGCAAAUGAUGUGUUCCUCAACUGGUUCAUCCAUCCAUCCAUCCUUCCUUCCAUCCAGCCAUCAUCUAUCCAUCCUUCCAUCCAUCCUUCCUUCCAUCCAGCCAUCAUCUAUCCUUCCUUCCAUCCAGCCACCAUCUAUCCAUCCUUCCAUCCAUCCUUCCAUCCAUCCUUCCUUCCAUCCAUCCUUCCUUCCAUCCAUCCUUUAAUCCAUCCAUCCAUCUGACAGACACCCUUUAUUUAUCAGGCACGUGGUUAAGCACUGUGAGGAUACAGAAAGAUAAACAGGACAGGGUUUCUACUGUCAGAGGAUAUACAUCGAUGGGACAGAGUAGCACACCUUGCUGUUACAGUCUGUUACAUAAAUAACACUAGCAGACAUAAUUUGCCCUUCUCUGAGUGAAAGCACCAUUCAUAUGUUUAUUCAUUCAUACAUGCAUUUAUUCCAUUCAUUCAUUUAUCAAACAGUUUUUAUAUGCCCAAAGAGGCAAAGGAGGAAAAAGCUCCUUUUUUCAUUUUGAAUGUUGCUAUUAUCUGACAUUCAUUCAGUACUUACUAUGUCUCAGGUCAUUUAUAUGCAUUAACUUCAUUUAGUCCUUAAUAAGAUGUAUGCUCUUAAUGUCACUAUUUUUUUAAUGUCACUAUUUUUUACUAAUGAGGAAACUAAGGCUUUGAAAAGUUAUUAAAAUUGCCCAAGGCCAUAACGCUAGUAAAUGGUAGGGUGGGAAUUUGAGCUAAGGUAGGUCUGCUUUAAGGUAAAUUAUACUGCCUCUCAUCAAUAAAGGUUGGAUUUAUUCGAACUCUAAUCAAAAAGUAAAUUGUGCCCUACCAGAAAAACGCAUGGUAAAUGGGUUUGACUACUAGGUUUUUGCUGAAGUGAUGAAGUAUAGGUUGCCCUAUGUGCUGUAAACGAGCUGUAUUUUAAUAGGGAGCUGGGAUUGCAUGAAACAUGAAUCCUCAACAUGUGUAAAAUGAUGGAUACCCAGAAAAUUCUUCUUAAUUUCUAAAGUGACAAGGAGUCCUCAUUUCAAAACUGCAGGCUUCUCUGUGGUGGGUGGGGCAUGAGAGGAGUUUGGGGAGGUCCCGUGGGAUGGUAGAAAGAUCAGAAUCCAGCCCCAGCUCAGCCACCUGCCCAUCUCGGGCCUCUGGUAAGUGGCUCGACCCCACCCAUGAAGCAGACACUUGAGCGAACUGAUCCGUAAGUCUCCCCAGCAUGCCUGCAUGGUGGGAUCCUCGCCUGCCUCUCCAAACCUGCGCUGACACUCAGCAGAUGUCAGCCUGUCGGUCCUGUACUGCAUAUGAGGUGGGACUGCACUGAGUACAGGAAUGGGGUGAAAAACGUCAGAUGUGGGGAGCCAGAGAUCCUUCCCCCUAAAGAAUUCCAAGCUAAGGGCCUGAUGGACUGGAACAGUGCAUGUUGAGAAUCAUGAUAGACAUAGUGCCAUCUGAUGUUUUUAAUACCCAAGAGGUACUUUUGUUUAAAAAGCCAGUUUCAGGUCUGUCAUUAAAUUAUUAUUAAAAUUACAGAAGCUGUGUUUCUUAAAACUUCAGAGUCAACUGACAGAUUCUAUUUUAUUUAGGAAUCUACUGAUUUGGUCUAAAAAGAGCAAUGCUCUAACUAGAUUUUUAUUUAUGUUCAAUUAGUUAAUAGGUUGAUUGUAAAUAAUCAGCAUUAUCUACCAAAGCUAUUCAUUUACACAUUUAAUUUAUCUGAAUCUUUCAAGCAUUUUAUGUACCUAACAAGGCAGACUUAUAAAGCUAAGAAGUAAAAUCUUUCUAAGCACCUAAACAACUGUUUUAUUUAUUUAUUCAUUUUUGAGACAGAGUCACCCGGUUGCCCAGGCUGGAGUGCAGUGGCACGAUCUCAGCUCACUGCAACCUCCGCCUCCCAGGUUCAAGCGAUUCCCCUGCCUCAGCCUCCCGAAUAACUGGGAUUACAGGCGUGCGCCACCACGCCUGGCUAAUUUUUGUAUUUUUAGUAGAGACGGGGUUUCACCAUAUUGGUCAGGCUGGUCUCAAGCUCCUGGCCUCAAGCGAUCUGCCCUCCUUGGCCUCCCAAAGUGCUGUAAUACAGGUGUUAGCCACAGCGCCCAGCGUAAACAACUGUUUUAAAUCAAAUACACCAAACUUAUUUGAACUAAAUCAGGAUUCUCAAGAACACCUCAAAUUCUCUUAAAUCUUUCAAAUUAAAACCACCAAGCUAAUAUACCGUGGCCUUUUCAAUGUCUCUGAGACAUCUCAGGUAACAAAACCCAGAGAUGAUCAUGAUGAUUACAAAACUCGAACAUAAUUUUAAAGUGCAUGGACUCGAUGUUAUGUGAUCAUAUCCAUGCUUAUUGGCCUGCCCGGGAAUGUGGUUCCUUAAUUAAUGAGAGAUCUGCCAUCUCAGCUGAGAGCACUGGGUUGAAGAUUCUCAACAGCAACGUGGGUACAGACACUAGUCACUGGUCAGAGAUUCAAGGGCAAACACAGAGCCUGGUCCUACCACGAGGGCAAUGUGGCCCACGCCACAGGUGAGCCAUCCCUCUGCCCCUAUAUCAUGAUGCAGUAGUAUCAUGACUGCAUCAUGCAUUCCACUCAACAGGUAUUUCUCCCUUCUAGGAAGAAGCUGGUAAGCCAACCUCAACUCUAAACAAGUACAUCACAUUAUUUAGAGAACAUCUGGGUCUAAACAGCUUUCACAUUGUUAGGCCUCAGUCACUUGCCUAUAACCUUCAUGAAGGCAGAGAGAGUGUCUCUCCAGCCCAUGGCUCUGUGGCCAGUGCCUUACACUGAGCUUGGGGCAUCACAGGUGCUUCAUGUUCACCAGUGGAGUAAAUGAACUAUUUCUAGGCAGCUCAGAGCAAGGAAGUUCUUACUGGGCACAGGGAAUGCAAAGGAGGUGCACACUGGUAAGGUACCCAUGACCCCAACUUCACAGGCAUUUCUGUUCUGCUCCCAGAUGUUCCUGCAGCAGCCAGCUGUAUCCCUGAGCUUCAGCAGCACCCAGCGACCUGAGGCUCAGCAGCAGCUACAGCAAAGGUCAGCUGCAGUGACUCAGCCCCAGCUCGGGGCGGGCCCCCAACUUCCAGGGCAGAUCUCCUCUGCCCAGGUCACAAGCCAGCACCUGCUCAGAGAAUCAAGUGUGAUAUCAACCCAGGGUCCAAAGCCAAUGAGAAGCUCACAGCUAAUGCAGAGCAGCGGCCGCUCUGGAAGCAGCCUAGUGUCCCCGUUCAGCAGCGCCACCGCUGUGCUCCCGCCAAGUCUGAAUCUGACCACACCUGCUUCCACCUCCCAGGAUGCCAGCCAGUGCCAGCCCAGCCCAGACUUCAGCCAUGAUCGGCAGCUCAGGCUGUUGCUGAGCCAACCCAUCCAGCCCAUGAUGCCCGGGUCCUGUGACGCAAGGCAGCCCUCGGAGGUCAGCAGGACGGGACGGCAAGUCAAGUACGCACAGAGCCAGACCGUGUUUCAAAAUCCAGAUGCACACCCCGCCAACAGCAGCAGCGCCCCGAUGCCCGUCCUGCUGAUGGGGCAGGCGGUGCUCCACCCCAGCUUCCCCGCCUCCCAGCCAUCGCCCCUGCAGCCUGCACAGGCCCGGCAGCAGCCACAGCAGCACUACCUGCAGGUACAGGCACCAACCUCUUUGCACAGUGAGCAGCAGGACUCGCUACUUCUCUCCACCUACUCACAACAGCCAGGGACCCUGGGCUACCCCCAACCACCCCCAGCACAGCCCCAGCCCCUGCGUCCUCCCCGAAGGGUCAGCAGUCUGUCUGAGUCGUCAGGCCUCCAGCAGCCGCCCCGAUAGUGCCCCGGCACUGAAGUCGGGACACAAUCAGCUUUAAGCAAUGGAUGAGGGGGGUGGCCACAGGAGAUGGGGAGAGGAGCCUGAACUAAACCCCUGGCUUUUGUGCACACUGCAUACGUUUCAGAACUCCUGGAUGGUAACCAUCUCUGGAGUGCAGCGCUUGCUGCAGUGGAAAUGAUCAGGAAUACUGACCGUGUUUCUCUUGCCUCCGAGGUUCUUGGGCACACUCUAUAGCCAUACUGGACAGGAACCAGGUGCCCCGUGUAGGCAUCGUUGGUCGGUUUACCGUCAGAGAUGGCGCAUCUCGCUGCAUCCCCCGAGAGUACACCGGUUGCUCUAGCCACCUGCGGCCCGCCCAUCUGCGCUAGCUGGCCUUCAUGCUCUUGAUCGUCUUUCCUUUGUAUUGGAGAAGGACUGGGUCAGAGAUCUGUUGGAGAGAGAGAAUAAAGAGAUUAUUUUUCAUUAUUUUUAAA